AUUGAACGCUGGCGGCAUGCUUUACACAUGCAAGUCGAACGGUAACAGGUUAAGCUGACGAGUGGCGAACGGGUGAGUAAUGCAUCGGAACGUGCCCGAUCGUGGGGGAUAACGCAGCGAAAGCUGCGCUAAUACCGCAUACGAUCUGAGGAUGAAAGCGGGGGACCGUAAGGCCUCGCGCGAUCGGAGCGGCCGAUGUCAGAUUAGGUAGUUGGUGGGGUAAAGGCUCACCCAGCCAACGAUCUGUAGCUGGUCUGAGAGGACGACCAGCCACACUUGGACUGAGACACGGCUCAGACUCCUGCGGGAGGCAGCGGUGCGGAAUUUUGGACAAUGGGCGAAAGCCUGAUCCAGCAAUGCCGCGUGCAGGAAGCAGGCCUUCGGGUUGUAAACUGCUUUUGUACGGAGCGAAAAGGUCUCCUCUAAUACAGGGGGCUCAUGACGGUACCGUAAGAAUAAGCACCGGCUAACUACGUGCCAGCCGCCGCCGUAA
rnacentral:rRNA from 1 species